UACGGAGGGUGCUAGCGUUGUUCGGAUUCAUUGGGCGUAAAGGGUGCGUAGGCGGCGGGGCAAGUCUGAUGUGAAAUCCCGGGGCUCAACCCCGGAACUGCAUUGGAUACUGCCUUGCUUGAGUACUGGAGAGGAGACUGGAAUUUACGGUGUAGCAGUGAAAUGCGUAGAUAUCGUAAGGAAGGCCAGUGGCGAAGGCGAGUCUCUGGACAGUUACUGACGCUGAGGCUCGAAAGCGUGGGGAGCAAACAGG
rnacentral:rRNA from 1 species